UGCAGUCGACGGUGAAGCAGAGCUUGCUCUGUGGAUCAGUGGCGAACGGGUGAGUAACACGUGAGCAAUCUGCCCCUGACUCUGGGAUAAGCGCUGGAAACGGCGUCUAAUACCGGAUACGAGCUGCGACCGCAUGGUCAGUAGCUGGAAAGAAUUUCGGUCAGGGAUGAGCUCGCGGCCUAUCAGCUUGUUGGUGAGGUAAUGGCUCACCAAGGCGUCGACGGGUAGCCGGCCUGAGAGGGUGACCGGCCACACUGGGACUGAGACACGGCCCAGACUCCUACGGGAGGCAGCAGUGGGGAAUAUUGCACAAUGGGCGAAAGCCUGAUGCAGCAACGCCGCGUGAGGGAUGACGGCCUUCGGGUUGUAAACCUCUUUUAGCAGGGAAGAAGCGAAAGUGACGGUACCUGCAGAAAAAGCGCCGGCUAACUACGUGCCAGCAGCCGCGGUAAUACGUAGGGCGCAAGCGUUAUCCGGAAUUAUUGGGCGUAAAGAGCUCGUAGGCGGUCUGUCGCGUCUGCUGUGAAAACCCGAGGCUCAACCUCGGGCCUGCAGUGGGUACGGGCAGACUAGAGUGCGGUAGGGGAGAUUGGAAUUCCUGGUGUAGCGGUGGAAUGCGCAGAUAUCAGGAGGAACACCGAUGGCGAAGGCAGAUCUCUGGGCCGUAACUGACGCUGAGGAGCGAAAGGGUGGGGAGCAAACAGGCUUAGAUACCCUGGUAGUCCACCCCGUAAACGUUGGGAACUAGUUGUGGGGUCCAUUCCACGGAUUCCGUGACGCAGCUAACGCAUUAAGUUCCCCGCCUGGGGAGUACGGCCGCAAGGCUAAAACUCAAAGGAAUUGACGGGGACCCGCACAAGCGGCGGAGCAUGCGGAUUAAUUCGAUGCAACGCGAAGAACCUUACCAAGGCUUGACAUAUAGAGGAAACGUCUGGAAACAGUCGCCCCGCAAGGUCUCUAUACAGGUGGUGCAUGGUUGUCGUCAGCUCGUGUCGUGAGAUGUUGGGUUAAGUCCCGCAACGAGCGCAACCCUCGUUCUAUGUUGCCAGCACGUAAUGGUGGGAACUCAUGGGAUACUGCCGGGGUCAACUCGGAGGAAGGUGGGGAUGACGUCAAAUCAUCAUGCCCCUUAUGUCUUGGGCUUCACGCAUGCUACAAUGGCCGGUACAAAGGGCUGCAAUACCGUGAGGUGGAGCGAAUCCCAAAAAGCCGGUCCCAGUUCGGAUUGAGGUCUGCAACUCGACCUCAUGAAGUCGGAGUCGCUAGUAAUCGCAGAUCAGCAACGCUGCGGUGAAUACGUUCCCGGGUCUUGUACACACCGCCCGUCAAGUCAUGAAAGUCGGUAACACCUGAAGCCGGUGGCCCAACCCUUGUGGAGGGAGCCGUCGA
rnacentral:rRNA from 1 species